UACGGGGGGGGCAAGCGUUGUUCGGAAUUACUGGGCGUAAAGGGCGCGUAGGUGGCCAACUAAGUCAGACGUGAAAUCCCUCGGCUUAACCGGGGAACUGCGUCUGAUACUGGAUGGCUUGAGUUUGGGAGAGGGACGCGGAAUUCCAGGUGUAGCGGUGAAAUGCGUAGAUAUCUGGAGGAACACCGGUGGCGAAGGCGACAUCCUGGACCGGUAUUGACGCUGAGGCGCGAAAGCCAGGGGAGCAAACGGG
rnacentral:rRNA from 1 species